rnacentral:rRNA from 1 species
GGGUUGUGAGGUUAAGCGACUAAGCGUACACGGUGGAUGCCCUGGCAGUCAGAGGCGAUGAAGGACGUGCUAAUCUGCGAUAAGCGUCGGUAAGGUGAUAUGAACCGUUAUAACCGGCGAUUUCCGAAUGGGGAAACCCAGUGUGUUUCGACACACUAUCAUUAACUGAAUCCAUAGGUUAAUGAGGCGAACCGGGGGAACUGAAACAUCUAAGUACCCCGAGGAAAAGAAAUCAACCGAGAUUCCCCCAGUAGCGGCGAGCGAACGGGGAGCAGCCCAGAGCCUGAAUCAGUGUGUGUGUUAGUGGAAGCGUCUGGAAAGGCGCGCGAUACAGGGUGACAGCCCCGUACACAAAAAUGCACAUGCUGUGAGCUCGAUGAGUAGGGCGGGACACGUGGUAUCCUGUCUGAAUAUGGGGGGACCAUCCUCCAAGGCUAAAUACUCCUGACUGACCGAUAGUGAACCAGUACCGUGAGGGAAAGGCGAAAAGAACCCCGGCGAGGGGAGUGAAAAAGAACCUGAAACCGUGUACGUACAAGCAGUGGGAGCCUCUUUAUGGGGUGACUGCGUACCUUUUGUAUAAUGGGUCAGCGACUUAUAUUCUGUAGCAAGGUUAACCGAAUAGGGGAGCCGAAGGGAAACCGAGUCUUAACUGGGCGUUAAGUUGCAGGGUAUAGACCCGAAACCCGGUGAUCUAGCCAUGGGCAGGUUGAAGGUUGGGUAACACUAACUGGAGGACCGAACCGACUAAUGUUGAAAAAUUAGCGGAUGACUUGUGGCUGGGGGUGAAAGGCCAAUCAAACCGGGAGAUAGCUGGUUCUCCCCGAAAGCUAUUUAGGUAGCGCCUCGUGAAUUCAUCUCCGGGGGUAGAGCACUGUUUCGGCAAGGGGGUCAUCCCGACUUACCAACCCGAUGCAAACUGCGAAUACCGGAGAAUGUUAUCACGGGAGACACACGGCGGGUGCUAACGUCCGUCGUGAAGAGGGAAACAACCCAGACCGCCAGCUAAGGUCCCAAAGUCAUGGUUAAGUGGGAAACGAUGUGGGAAGGCCCAGACAGCCAGGAUGUUGGCUUAGAAGCAGCCAUCAUUUAAAGAAAGCGUAAUAGCUCACUGGUCGAGUCGGCCUGCGCGGAAGAUGUAACGGGGCUAAACCAUGCACCGAAGCUGCGGCAGCGACGCUUAUGCGUUGUUGGGUAGGGGAGCGUUCUGUAAGCCUGUGAAGGUGUGCUGUGAGGCAUGCUGGAGGUAUCAGAAGUGCGAAUGCUGACAUAAGUAACGAUAAAGCGGGUGAAAAGCCCGCUCGCCGGAAGACCAAGGGUUCCUGUCCAACGUUAAUCGGGGCAGGGUGAGUCGACCCCUAAGGCGAGGCCGAAAGGCGUAGUCGAUGGGAAACAGGUUAAUAUUCCUGUACUUGGUGUUACUGCGAAGGGGGGACGGAGAAGGCUAUGUUGGCCGGGCGACGGUUGUCCCGGUUUAAGCGUGUAGGCUGGUUUUCCAGGCAAAUCCGGAAAAUCAAGGCUGAGGCGUGAUGACGAGGCACUACGGUGCUGAAGCAACAAAUGCCCUGCUUCCAGGAAAAGCCUCUAAGCAUCAGGUAACAUCAAAUCGUACCCCAAACCGACACAGGUGGUCAGGUAGAGAAUACCAAGGCGCUUGAGAGAACUCGGGUGAAGGAACUAGGCAAAAUGGUGCCGUAACUUCGGGAGAAGGCACGCUGAUAUGUAGGUGAGGUCCCUCGCGGAUGGAGCUGAAAUCAGUCGAAGAUACCAGCUGGCUGCAACUGUUUAUUAAAAACACAGCACUGUGCAAACACGAAAGUGGACGUAUACGGUGUGACGCCUGCCCGGUGCCGGAAGGUUAAUUGAUGGGGUUAGCGGUAACGCGAAGCUCUUGAUCGAAGCCCCGGUAAACGGCGGCCGUAACUAUAACGGUCCUAAGGUAGCGAAAUUCCUUGUCGGGUAAGUUCCGACCUGCACGAAUGGCGUAAUGAUGGCCAGGCUGUCUCCACCCGAGACUCAGUGAAAUUGAACUCGCUGUGAAGAUGCAGUGUACCCGCGGCAAGACGGAAAGACCCCGUGAACCUUUACUAUAGCUUGACACUGAACAUUGAGCCUUGAUGUGUAGGAUAGGUGGGAGGCUUUGAAGUGUGGACGCCAGUCUGCAUGGAGCCGACCUUGAAAUACCACCCUUUAAUGUUUGAUGUUCUAACGUUGACCCGUAAUCCGGGUUGCGGACAGUGUCUGGUGGGUAGUUUGACUGGGGCGGUCUCCUCCUAAAGAGUAACGGAGGAGCACGAAGGUUGGCUAAUCCUGGUCGGACAUCAGGAGGUUAGUGCAAUGGCAUAAGCCAGCUUGACUGCGAGCGUGACGGCGCGAGCAGGUGCGAAAGCAGGUCAUAGUGAUCCGGUGGUUCUGAAUGGAAGGGCCAUCGCUCAACGGAUAAAAGGUACUCCGGGGAUAACAGGCUGAUACCGCCCAAGAGUUCAUAUCGACGGCGGUGUUUGGCACCUCGAUGUCGGCUCAUCACAUCCUGGGGCUGAAGUAGGUCCCAAGGGUAUGGCUGUUCGCCAUUUAAAGUGGUACGCGAGCUGGGUUUAGAACGUCGUGAGACAGUUCGGUCCCUAUCUGCCGUGGGCGCUGGAGAACUGAGGGGGGCUGCUCCUAGUACGAGAGGACCGGAGUGGACGCAUCACUGGUGUUCGGGUUGUCAUGCCAAUGGCACUGCCCGGUAGCUAAAUGCGGAAGAGAUAAGUGCUGAAAGCAUCUAAGCACGAAACUUGCCCCGAGAUGAGUUCUCCCUGAC